GCUGAAGACCUGAGUGUAAAAGGAGCUUCCAAUUACAAAAUGUCCUGAUAUAAACCCCUACCAGCAUCAUCACUCGAGAUGUCAACAAAACACACUCAAGCGCCUUACCAUCAACCAAGAGAUUUUUUAAAGGUUAAAGUAACCUCACAAAUUAUUUACUUCCUAUCAUGCCGAUGACAAGUUAGUCCCAGCCCAUCUCUGCAAUAUGUUUCCAUUUCACACCCCAUAAGACAAAUAACAACUUAA